GCUUAUUUUGGUAAGACAUACACUAAAAUUGGAACAAUAUAGAGAUUAGCAUGGUCCCUGUACAAGAAUGAAUCAUUUCAUAUUUUU
ensembl:snRNA LOC120095370 U6 spliceosomal RNA